AUUGAACGCUGGCGGAAUGCUUUACACAUGCAAGUCGAACGGCAGCACGGACUUCGGUCUGGUGGCGAGUGGCGAACGGGUGAGUAAUACAUCGGAACGUGCCCAAUCGUGGGGGAUAACGUAGCGAAAGCUACGCUAAUACCGCAUACGAUCUAAGGAUGAAAGCGGGGGAUCGCAAGACCUCGCGCGAUUGGAGCGGCCGAUAUCAGAUUAGGUAGUUGGUGGGGUAAAGGCCCACCAAGCCAACGAUCUGUAGCUGGUCUGAGAGGACGACCAGCCACACUGGAACUGAGACACGGUCCAGACUCCUACGGGAGGCAGCAGUGGGGAAUUUUGGACAAUGGGCGAAAGCCUGAUCCAGCCAUUCCGCGUGCAGGAUGAAGGCCCUCGGGUUGUAAACUGCUUUUGUACAGAACGAAAAGGUUUCUACUAAUACUAGGAGCUCAUGACGGUACUGUAAGAAUAAGCACCGGCUAACUACGUACCAGCCGCCGCGGUAA
rnacentral:rRNA from 1 species